rnacentral:lncRNA from 13 species
AACAUCUCCUGUUCUGUUUCAUGCACACUGAACAUCUCCUGUUCUGUUUCAGCACACUGAACAUCUCCUGUUCUGUUUCAACACACUGAACAUCUCCUGUUCUGUUUCAGCACACUGAACAUCUCCUGUUCUGUUUCAUGCACACUGAACAUCUCCUGUUCUGUUUCAGCACACUGAACAUCUCCUGUUCUGUUUCAUGCACACUGAACAUCUCCUCUUCUGUUUCAUGCAUAGGAAAUGUGAGACAGAACAUCAAUAGCAUGAAUAGCUUCCCCCGACAUGUAGCGAACAAAAGUCAAUGCAUCUCGGCUCUCACAGCUAACGUCUAUUUGGAGAGCAUUUGGUGGGGAAUUUAUGAAUCGUUCAAUCAGUUUCCUCUUGUUUGUUAGCUAUAGCAUCAAUUCUUAGUUUCACAGUNNNNNNNNNNNNNNNNNNNNNNNNNNNNNNNNNNNNNNNNNNNNNNNGUACAGUACAGGAGGUCAAACGGUGACAGCUCGUCACAGCAUCAUGUGGUGUGCCAGGUAAGCAGGUCGCUGUACAGUACAGGAGGUCAAACGGUGACAGCUCGUCACAGCAUCAUGUGGUGUGCCAGGUAAGCAGGUCGCUGUAAUCGUCUUGUCGUAUCCCGUAUAUAUAUAUUUACAUCUUUCUUCGCGCAUCUUUUAUAUAUUUUCUUUUCCAAAAACUCAACUUCAAAACACUCUCCUGCAACCUGCCUCACCAAUUAAAAAAAAAAAGUAUUAUUUACCUCAAAUCUGAAAUACACAAUAGAAGCUAGCCAGAAACUAGCCAGAAGCUAGCCAACGUUAGUAUUCAGCUAACCACGGUUGAUGGUCAUCAGCUAUCCUUUUUAUACAAAGCGACUCAGACCAGAACAUACCGGACCUAUUUUUCUCUCCAUAUCCCCGGAUUUCAACCGAAAGCUCUAGACAUUUACACCUGGAUCUCGCAGCUAGCUAGCUGCUAUCCAUGUGACUAUUGGCUUACGUCGAUCCCGGAGCAAACAUCAAUUAUUCCAGAGCUAGCCAGCUGAAGAGUUCCAUCAGACACUCCUGGGCUACAAUCACCUAUCCGGACCCGUUUUACUGCCGAUGCGGAGCCCCACCGGGCCUUCACAACUGGACUACCGACGUUAUCUGCCCGACUCUCUGUUCCAGAAGUUCUAGACGACACAGCAACUUCGAAU